rnacentral:rRNA from 1 species
AGAGUUUGAUCCUGGCUCAGGAUGAACGCUGGCGGCGUGCUUAACACAUGCAAGUCGAACGAAGCGGUUACAGGGAUUCCCUUCGGGGAGGAACGGUAACUGUCUGAGUGGCGGACGGGUGAGUAACGCGUGGGCAACCUGCCCCAUACCGGGGGAUAACAGCCGGAAACGGCUGCUAAUACCGCAUACGCCCAGGAGGCUGCAUAGCUUCCUGGGGAAAACUCCGGUGGUAUGGGAUGGGCCCGCGUCUGAUUAGCUCGUUGGCGGGGUAACGGCCCACCAAGGCGACGAUCAGUAGCCGGCCUGAGAGGGCGGCCGGCCACAUUGGGACUGAGACACGGCCCAGACUCCUGCGGGAGGCAGCAGUGGGGAAUAUUGCACAAUGGGGGAAACCCUGAUGCAGCGACGCCGCGUGAGCGAUGAAGUAUCUCGGUAUGUAAAGCUUUAUCAGCAGGGAAGAAAGUGACAGUACCUGACUAAGAAGCCCCGGCUAACUACGUGCCAGCAGCCGCGGUAAUACGUAGGGGGCAAGCGUUAUCCGGAUUCACUGGGCGUAAAGGGAGCGCAGGCGGCACGGCAAGUCUGGUGUGAAAACCCGGGGCUCAACCCCGGGACUGCAUUGGAAACUGCCGGGCUGGAGUGUCGGAGGGGUAAGCGGAAUUCCUAGUGUAGCGGUGAAAUGCGUAGAUAUUAGGAGGAACACCAGUGGCGAAGGCGGCUUACUGGACGAUGACUGACGCUGAGGCUCGAAAGCGUGGGGAGCAAACAGGAUUAGAUACCCUGGUAGUCCACGCCGUAAA